rnacentral:lncRNA from 1 species
AGGAAUCUCUCACGAUGUUUGUUCUCUUAGCAUCUUAAUUAAUUGCUUCUGCCACUUACACCUUGUGGAUUUUGGCUUCUCUGUUUUUGGUAAGAUGCUCAAAUUCGGAUUGGAGCCUGACAUUGUGACAUUUACGACCUUAAUUAAUGGGCUUUGUAUAGAGAGUAAAAUCGACAAAGCAGUGGAAUUUUUCGAUGAUAUGGUUGCACGUGGUUAUCAACCUAAUGUUUAUACUUACAGUGUGAUAAUAAACGGAAUGUGUAAAUUUGGGAAAACAAGUGUGGCCAUUAGGCUACUAAAGGGAAUGGCUGAUAGAGGUUGUGAGCCAAAUGUUGUGACAUACAGUGCAAUCAUUGACGCCCUUUGCAAAGAUGAGCUAGUUGGUGAGGCUUUAGAGCUCUUCUCUCAAAUGAGGAAUAAGGGUAUUUCAUCUAAUGUCAUCACUUACACUAGUUUAAUUCAUGGUGUUUGCAAAUUAGGCCAAAAGAACCAAGCUUUGGCCUUGAUGAAUGAAAUGGUGGAGCAGAACAUAUUACCAAAUGUUUAUACCUUCAAUGUAUUGAUUGAUGCUCUUUGUAAGGAUGGAAUGGUUUCAGAGGCUCAAAAUACAUUCAAUGUAAUGAUUCAAAGAGGUGUAGAGCCUGAUGUGGUCACCUACAAUUCCUUAAUUGAUGGUCUUUGCAUUUCCGACCAAUUCAAGGAAGCUUUGGCCUUGUUGAAAGAAAUGGUGGGGAGGAACAUAUCCCCUGAUGUUUUUACCUUCAAUAUAUUGAUCGACACUCUUUGUAAGAAAGGACUGGUUUCAAAUGCAGAGAAUAUAAUCAAAAUAAUGAUUCAAAGAGGUGUGGAACCUACCGUUGUCACUUAUAGUUCAUUGAUGGAUGGAUAUUGUCUGUGCAAGCAAAUUGAUAAGGCUAGAAAGGUAUUUGAUCUGAUGGUGACCAAUGAAAUAGCUGGCAUUUUUAGCUACACCAUUUUGAUCAAUGGAUAUUGUAAGUGCAAAAUGAUAGAUGAUGCAAAGGAACUUUUUGAUGAAAUGUCUCAUAAAGGUUUAGUUCCUAAUGUUGUUACUUAUUCUACUCUUAUAGAGGGUAUGUUUCAAGCAGGGAGGCCCCAAACUGCACAGGAGCUCUUUAAGAAUAUGUGCUCUCAUGGUCAACAGCCAAAUAUGGUAACCUUCUCAAUUAUGAUUGAUGGCUUUUGUAGACAGGGGAAUCUCGAUGAGGCACUUACACUAUUGAAAGAAAUGGAGAAAAGUCAGUUGAAGCCUGAUCUUGUGACCUAUUGCAUUCUGAUCAAUGGUAUGUGCAAAGCUGGCAAGAUUAAUGAUGCCAAGGAACUGUUUUCUAGUCUUUUUGAAAAUGGUUUACAACCUAAUGUUCAUAUAUAUUGUGCAAUUAUGAAAGGACUCUGCCGAGAGGGAUUAAUAGAUGAAGCAUAUAAGAUUUUUAGAGACAUGGAAAAGGGAGGAUGUUUACCGAAUAAUUGGUGUUAUAAUAUCAUCAUUCAAGGGUUUCUCAAGCAUGAGGAUUUACCAAAAGCAUCAGAACUAAUCAAUGAAAUGGUUGACAAGGGAUUCUCUGCCGAUGCUACUACCACCGAAUUAGUAGUACGUUUAUUGUGCAAUGAUGAUCUCAUUGAGGCUUUUAAAGGUGCGCAAUGAGGGAUCAGCAAACUAAAGUUGUUAGAUCUUGACCAUUCAAGUGUAUCUUGGAGUGCAACUUGGUAAUUACCUUUUUCAAAUAUAAUAGAUAUGUAAUUUAACUAACUUCUUCAAAUAUCAUUUUAAAUUUCAAUCAGCUGUGAUUCUCUUCCACAAAACGAAAAUUUCUAACACUGCAAAUUACCUGUGAUGGAAACCAUGAUAUGUGUGUGCCUUUCGCUUGAAUUCAGACAUGGACUAGAUCUCUUUGAUAUAAGAUUGUUGAUGAAUGGAGGUCAUGGAUUUCUAAUCAUCAAGUUGCUGCGUGGUAAACCCACCAUCUCCAUUACAAUUUUUUUUUUGGCUGCUACUACAGCCUUUACUCGAGAGCUCAGUCCUAAAAUUGAGUUGAGAACUAAAACUAAUUGGUUCCAUACUACAAUGCCUAAGAAUCUUUUAUCUAUUUUUAUUUUUGUGCUCAAUGACCUUUCAAAAUGCUAUCAUUUCUCUUUUAGGUACUUGCAAGGAUAUGACUACAACUUCACCUUUCUAACCAGAAAGGAAUAAGCAAUUCAUUUUUGCUUAGUUAUUAUAAUUUUUAAUAAUAAUGAAACUAAUGAUUAUAAACCAGUGUGCUUUAUAUACAGUCCCAGAAUACAAGGUAAGAGAAUCACUAUGGGAUAAACUUGGUGCUUUAAAGCAUCAUCUAACUAUUUGUGAAUGUGGUGCUUCUGAAGUAUAGCUUGAGAGAGAGAGAGAGAGUGAGAAUAAACUGAUGGCAAUUUUUAAUGAGUUGUUUGACCAUAUAAGAAAUCAAAUCUUGAUUUUGGAUCUGUUACCAACACUCAAUAAAGUCUAUAAGUCUAUAUGCAGCCAGUGAGUGUGUUGAUGGACAAGCAACUGCAAUUGGUCCUACUAGCGAUUGGAAUGCUAGUUUAGCUUCAGCUAUUUAACAGGACUUUUUGUCCAAAUCUAUUUAAGAACAAGUUCAUAAAAGGCAGGAUAGCUCUAUAUAUAACACAAGUAUAAUCUUGCAAUAUACUUCAUAAAAUUUUCUUUGAGCUGUUAUUUACUCACCACCUGCAGUAGUUAUCAAGUCUUAAAUUAGUUAGAUAUUCAAUAAAAAGACAUUAUUCUCUACAUAAUAUGCUUCUUAAAACAAAAUUUGAUUCAAUUUAUUUUAACACCAUAAUUCUUUAUAAAAAAAAUACCUACAAAAUUUCUUACAGUUAGUAAUUUACAGUUAGUAAUUUAAUGGUCAUGGUCAGUAAACGGUCAGUAACUUAUUUUACAAAUCUCUUUUUCCAUAAUUUGAUCAGUUAACAUGAUUUCCUCUGGUGCCUUAUUAUUUAUAAAUACUAAUAAUUACAUUGUAAAAUUUAUAAUUUAUUUUUAUUAAUAUAAUUUAUUUAAUUAAUUUAUAAUAUAAUAUUUUAAUUUACAUAUAAAAUCCACAUGUUCACGUCUAUUAUAAUGGAUUAAAAAAUUAUACAAAUAUACAUUAUUUAAAAUAUUUCAAUUUGAUUUGUUCGAUUAAUUUAUUAUUUUAAUUUAAUUUAUGUUCUAUUAACAAAUAUAAUAUUAAAAUUUUAAUAGAUUAAAUAUUUUAUUAAAACUAUUAUAUGUUUUAAUAAUUUAAUUAUAUUAAGAUUAGUACGUAAUUAGAUAUAUUUGUCUAUGCUAUAAAAUCUCAAUAUCAUACAAUACAUUGUUAAGAAAUAUACUACAUAAUUAAUUCAGACGAGAAAGUAGGCAAUAUGUUAAAAAAGAAAAAAAUAUAAUUCUUGUUAAGAACCAGAAUUAAAUUAAAUUUUUAAUACUUUAAUAUAAAGAAAAACUAUAGUUCUUAUUAAGAAUUAGAACCAAAUUAAAUUUCUAAUACUUUAAUGCAUUUGAAAUUAAAUUUUGGUAUAAUUCUGAUACGAUUAUAAGUAAUUCCAGUACUGCUUCAAUUUGAUUUUAAAUUUUUUUAUUUUAUUUUAGUUUUAUUUCAAUUUAAAUUUUAAUUUUUACAAAUAAAAUCAUAAUAGCUUUUACGUAUAUUUUAAAAUAGUAAAUAAUUAAUAUUAAAAUAAUAAUACAAAUAUUUAAAUAAUAACAGUAGUAAUAUAAUAUAUAUAUAUAUAUACACAACGCUCGAUGAGAUAAUUUUAUUAUUUUAUGUAGUUAUUAAUUAUAUAAUUUUUAAUUAAAAUUAUAUAAAAUUAAUAUAUAAAUAUAUAUUAUAUUACUAAUACGUAAUUUACUCAUAUAAUUAAAAAAUUAUAAAAUAAUUAAUACAUUUAUGAUUGAUAUAAAAAAAUACACACAUGGAUAUAUAUAAUUGGAUUAUAAUAAUUUUUUUUAAAAAAAUAUAUGUUAAUGAUAAUUUUAUUAAAUAACAUAUAUUAGCAAAUAUAAUAAAAAUUUGAAUAUUUCAAUUACAAUAAAAAAAUCAACUAAAAUGAUAUAUUUUCUUAAUUUUAUUUUAUUAUAAUUUUUUUGAUAACUUUGAUUAAAUAUAUUCAUAUAAUAAUGUGAUAUUAAGAUAAUAGGAGCUGAAGCAAUAAUAAUAAUAAUAUAUAAAAAAUUAAUAAAAAGAUGAAAAAAUAAUGGUAAAAUAUUAUUUAGUUUGUGAAAGUGUUAAAUUUGGUCGUAGAGAAAUAGAGUGGUUUAUUGGAGAUUUUGAAAUCAAAGGAAUAUUUAUAUUUUUUGGAAGGCAAACUCAAAGCGGCAAUAUAAUAAUAUAUCUGGCUUUAAAGAGAGAUAAAUCAAUGUUAAUCAGACUACUACCGGAUGUUUUUAUACUCAAUUUCUGAUUAGAUUGAUAGGAGAGUGAGAGAAAGCUCAGUUUCAAGAGAUGAUUUGUUCAGAGAUCAGUCUCUUUUAUCAAAAUGUCAGUUUUAGAGCUACUCAUACAAAACUAAAUAUAAAAUGAAGUUUCUUGUUAGAAAUUUGAUAUAUUUUUCUAUGCUACAAAAUCUCAAUAUAAGCGAGAUAGUGGGCAACAUGCUGAAAGGAAAUAAUUCUGAUACUUUUAUCAAUAGAUUUUACUAAUAAAAUCUCAGUAUCAUGCAAUACAUCGUUUUAAUGGUUCAACCAAGAUAGUGGGCAACAUACUAAAAGGAAAAGCUAUAGUUAUGAUACUUUUAUCAUUAGAUUUUACUACAAUAUACUUUAAUCUAUUAGUAAUUUUAACAAAUUUAUUAAAAAAUUUGAAAAUCCUAAAAAUAAUUUUUAAUAUAAAAAGUUGUAUAAAAAUUCACCAACAUUUGAAAUCUGUUGGUAAUCUAUUGGUAUUACUAACAAAUUUAAAAAUUUAUUGAAAAUUUAUAAAUUUAUAAAAUAAUUGGUGUUGGAAUUGACUAACAGAUUUAAAAUCUAUAAGUAAAUUAGUAACAAUUUUAAUUUGUUAGUAAAUUUAGGGGUGUAAAUGAUAUAAACCGUUUGUGAGUUAUUCGAUAUUCGACUCGAUAAAAAUUUGACCGAGCUCGACUCGAUUUUUAAACGAUCCAAACUCGGACUUAAUUUUUAGGCUUGUUUAGUAAAUGAGGCACAUUUAAACUCCAUAAUAUUCAUCUCGUUAAGACUCGUGAGUUCGGCUCGCAUUCGAAUUUAUGAGCAGACUCUGAAUAGUCUCAUUAAGCAGAUUAAGAUUAAUAUAUCAUAAGAGAAAUAAAUUUAAAUCAUGCAUAUAAUUUCAUGCGCCAAAUCUAAAUUUUAUAAAGUUUAAUUCUAUAUUGUUUAAUUGUACUAUUAAAACUUGCAUAUAUUUGAAACGUUAAGAGCUCAUCUUUAUAAGUUUACGAGCUAAUUUAUAUAUAUGAAAGUCAGCUACUUGCUUGAUGUGGGACGUCCCAUAUCGGCGAAGUACGGAAAAUCAAAAUUGUAUAUAAUAGAUAGUACAAAACUACUAAAUAACUUUGAAUUAACCAGGUCAGGUAGAAAAUGGAUCCAUAAGUUAUUUGGGUCAAUUUGGGUCGGACUGUUUCAAUUGAAUCAGAGCCGCCCUGGGUUAGAGCUAAUGGGCUUGCGAGGAAAGAGCUACCCGUAUGAGAUGAAAUGAAACUGUCCGAGACACUAGCGAAUCAUAAUACCAAAGUUGAGAUUAUUAAUACUUAACUCGUCUAAAUUCAGUUCGAGUUCGAAAUGAGUAAAACUCGAGUUCGGCUUGAAUUUAAAAAAAUUUUAAUAAACUAAAUUUGAACUCUUCAAAACUCAGCUCUACUCUUCGUUUACGCUCUAAGUGACAGAUUUAAAAAUUCAUUACUAAAUUUUAUCAUCAAAUUAAUAAGUAUUAAAUUUAUCAACAGAUGUUAUCCGCUAGUAAAUCCUUUGAUAAAUUUAAAAUAAAAUCCUAUAUAAAAUUUCUGCAUUUUUUUUUACAACUCAUAUUUUUCAGUUACAAACUGAUUUACUAACAGAUUUUAAAUCCAUUGGUAAUUUUUGGAGAGAAAAAUAUUGUUUUUUUUUAUAAAAAAGAAUUUAAUAUCAAAUUGUAAAAUCAUUAGUAAUUCGUGUUUAUAAAUGUAAUACCAACUCCUCUGUAUUUAUUAUUCAUUCAUUUUAUCAUAUGCCUUUCUUUCAUUUUUUUCCCUUUCUCUCAUUUUCUUUUCUUUUUUCUAUUACUUUCUUUCAUUUCAAUUUUUUUAUCUCAUAAGACUUUUUUAUUUUUUCUAUUAUUUUUCUCUCUCUUAUCCUAUUGUCUAUCAUUCUCUUUUUCUCUUCUAUUAUUUUUUUCAUUCUUCAUAAUUUUCCUUUUAUUUUCUCCCUUUUCUUUUCCAUCUUUUUCUUUCAUUUCCUUUUAUCUUCUUUGUUUUCUCUAUACUUUUCAUUUAUAUUAAUUUUUUUAAUAUUAUUUUCUUCUAUCAUUUUCUUCUAUCAUUUUCUUUCGAUUUACAUUUUUUCUAUUAUUUUCUCUUUAUUUAUUUUCUUAUCUAAUCAUUUGUUCACUUUUUUCAUUUCUCUAAUAAUUUUUUACUCAACUCUCAUUCAUUCUUCUUUUUCAUAAUUUUUAUUUUUCUAUUAUUUUCUUUAUUUUUCUCUUUUUUCUUUCUUUUUUAUUAUUUUCUCUCAUUUUAUACCAUUUACUUUUUUUUUUUAAUUUUCACUUUUUUGGAUAUAAAUUAAAAACUUGGUAACAAUAAUAAUAUAAUUUUAAAUCUUAUUAUAUUAAUAAAAAUUAUUUAAACUCUCAAUAGAUUUACUAAUAAAUUGCAAUUCGUUGAUAAUUUACUAAUGGAUUUCACGUCUGUUAAUAAAUUAUUUUUCUCUUAUACUAACGGAUUUAAAAUUUGUUAAUAAUUUAAAAUCUGUUAGUAGUAAUAGCGGAAACUCCGUUAAUAAAUUCACUAGUUUACUAACGAACUUGAAAACCAUUAGUAAAAAUUUAACACCGAACUUUUUAACAACGGAUCGUAAUAUGUUAGUAAUUCAUUGUUAAUUUUAAUUCAUUUACCAACGGAUUUUUAUUAGAUUGCCAGUGGAAAAAUCACUGCAUUAUUAAUACAAAUUAAGAAGUUGUUGAUUCUUAUCUUUACAAUAAGAUGUCUUUGAAACUCUUAAGACUUUUGAAGCUAAAAUUGAAGAAACAUUUAUGAUGUUGUAUUUCUCCUUUGGUUGAAACGGUUAUUCAUGCAAGAUGAUUUUUUCUGUUAUAACACUUUGGAAUGAUAUCUAUUAUUGGAAUGCAUAUGAUUGUUUGACUGAUAUGAAAUAAGUAUAAGGAGUAUAUAAUUAAAAAGAUAAUUAUAGUUAUCGAUCCAUUCAUGUCAUUUAAUUUUAGGGCUGUGCAAUUGGUCGGUUCGGUUCCGAACCGAACCGAACCGAUAAAACCAAAAAUCGACAUGUUAAAAUUUUAAAAACCGAAAAAAUCGAUUAUGAAGAUAUAAUCUAACCGAAUCGAACCGAUAAAAAUUGGUUCAGUUCGGUUCGGUUCAAACCGAAAUCUGUUGGGUUGGGCUUAGGCCCGAAAGGGAAGGAGGGGUUGGGGUGCUGGGUUGAAUAUGAGAGGCCAAAGGGAGGGCUUGGGCUCGGGUUUGGGCUUGGGUCUAGCUACUAAAUCGGUUUUUUGGUUUGAUCGGUUAUUUAACAUGUUUAAACCGAACCGAACUGAAAACCGAAUAAUUUUAAAUAUAAUAACCGAACUGAAAAACCGAAAUCAACCGGUUCGGUUCGAUUUUUCAGUUUAGACCGAAAUCUGCUCUCCCCUAUUUAAUUUUACUAUCCGUUAAUAAAUUCAUUUAUAUCUAUUUAAUUUUAAUCUUAUAUCAGUAAAUUAUAAAAGAUGAAAGUUCUUUUUCCCUAUUAAAAGAGAAGAUCUCUCCUCCCUUUAAUAUUAGUACCUGAUUUUUUAUAAUUUAUAAUACAAUAUACUGUAUAUUAAAUGUAUAGAAAUAAUUUAAUUAUUAUAAAUUUAAGUUAAUAUUAUUAAUAAUUAAUUAAAAUAACAAAUACAAAUUUAAAAUGCAAAAUAUAUUUAGUGAGUUUAACAUUUAAAAAUUUUAUUAUUUUAAAAUAAUUUUAUAUAUUAAUUUUUUACUGAUAUUAAUUAAAAUUAUAAUAUUAUUCAAAUAAAAUGUCAAAAUAAAAAUAUAUCAAACUAUUUUUAUUAGGGUGAGCAUUCGGUCGAUUCAGUUUAAAAUCAAAUUAAAUCGUAUAAAAUAAAAAUAAAAAUUUUAGUAUUUAUAAAAAUCAGAACGAACUGAUUUUGAUCAGAAACCGAAUUGAAUCGAACCGAUUUAAUUCGAUUCGAUUAGAUCGAUUUAAAUUUUUAAUAAAUUUUUUCUUUUUUAGCUUUAUCUUUAAUAUUUUAAAAUUUAAUUUAAAUAUUUUAACCUCAAUAUAAUUUAAUCUCUCUAUAUUAUUGAAAAUAAUAUAUUAUUAUCAUUAAAUCGAUUCAGUUUAUCUAUUCAGUUUAGAUUUUUUAAUUUUUUUAUCAAAAUCAAACCAAAUCAAAAUAAUCGAAAUUUUUAAAAUUAAAAAUUAAACCAAAUCAAAAUGAAUAAAAAAUUAAAUUAAAAUUUUAAAUUAAUUCAAUUCAAUCAAUUUUUUCGAUUUGAACUCAAUACUACUCACCUCUAAUUCUUAUGAGAGUUAAGCUUUGUAAAAAGAAAUUAAUUUUUAUUAUAUUAAAAUAAAGUAAUUAAUAAUAAAAAAUUAUAUAACGUUACUCAUUUUAAAUUUCUAAUUAUAUUAGAGUAAAAUUAAACAAUAAACUAUUUAUUUUUUCCUCAUCUAUAUUAUAUACAAUUAGACUAUAAUAAUAUUUUUAAAAAUAUACAUUGAUAAUUAUUUAUUAAAUAAAAAAUAUUAUUUAAUAAAAUAAAAAAUCAAUAUACUACAAUUAUAUUUAUAAUAUUUUAUUUAAAAAUAUAAAGUUAACAAAAUUNNNNNNNNNNNNNNNNNNNNNNNNNNNNNNNNNNNNNNNNNNNNNNNNNNNNNNNNNNNNNNNNNNNNNNNNNNNNNNNNNNNNNNNNNNNNNNNNNNNNNNNNNNNNNNNNNNNNNNNNNNNNNNNNNNNNNNNNNNNNNNNNNNNNNNNNNNNNNNNNNNNNNNNNNNNNNNNNNNNNNNNNNNNNNNNNNNNNNNNNNNNNNNNNNNNNNNNNNNNNNNNNNNNNNNNNNNNNNNNNNNNNNNNNNNNNNNNNNNNNNNNNNNNNNNNNNNNNNNNNNNNNNNNNNNNNNNNNNNNNNNNNNNNNNNNNNNNNNNNNNNNNNNNNNNNNNNNNNNNNNNNNNNNNNNNNNNNNNNNNNNNNNNNNNNNNNNNNNNNNNNNNNNNNNNNNNNNNNNNNNNNNNNNNNNNNNNNNNNNNNNNNNNNNNNNNNNNNNNNNNNNNNNNNNNNNNNNNNNNNNNNNNNNNNNNNNNNNNNNNNNNNNNNNNNNNNNNNNNNNNNNNNNNNNNNNNNNNNNNNNNNNNNNNNNNNNNNNNNNNNNNNNNNNNNNNNNNNNNNNNNNNNNNNNNNNNNNNNNNNNNNNNNNNNNNNNNNNNNNNNNNNNNNNNNNNNNNNNNNNNNNNNNNNNNNNNNNNNNNNNNNNNNNNNNNNNNNNNNNNNNNNNNNNNNNNNNNNNNNNNNNNNNNNNNNNNNNNNNNNNNNNNNNNNNNNNNNNNNNNNNNNNNNNNNNNNNNNNNNNNNNNNNNNNNNNNNNNNNNNNNNNNNNNNNNNNNNNNNNNNNNNNNNNNNNNNNNNNNNNNNNNNNNNNNNNNNNNNNNNNNNNNNNNNNNNNNNNNNNNNNNNNNNNAAUUCGGAUUGGAGCCUACCACUGUGACAUUUAAUACCUUAAUUAAUGGGCUUUGUAUGGAGGGUAAAAUCGAUAAAGCAGUGGAAUUUUUCGAUGAUAUGGUUGCACGUGGUUAUCAACCUGAUGUUCGUACUUUCACUGUGAUAGUAAACGGAAUGUGUAAAUUUGGGAAUACAAAUGUGGCUUUUGGGCUACUAAAGGGAAUGGCUGAUAGAGGUUGUGAGCCAAAUGUUGUGACAUACAAUGCAAUCAUUGACGCCCUUUGCAAAGAUGAGCUAGUUGGUGAGGCUUUAGAGCUCUUCUCUCAAAUGAGGAAUAAGGGCAUUUCACCUGAUGUCAUCACUUACACUGGUUUAAUUUACGGUGUUUGCAAAUUAGGCCAAAAGAACCAAGCUUUGGCCUUGAUGAAUGAAAUGGUGGAGCAGAACAUAUCACCUGAUGUUUAUACCUUCAAUGUAUUGAUUGACGCUCUUUGUAAGGAUGGAAUGGUUUCAGAGGCUCAAAAUACAUUCAAUAUAAUGAUUCAAAGAGGUGUAGAGCCUAAUGUGGUCACCUACACUUCCUUAAUUGAUGGUCUUUGCAUUUCAGACCAAUUCAAGGAAGCUUUUGCCUUGUUGAAAGAAAUGGUGGGGAGGAACAUAUCCCCUAAUGUUUUUACCUUCAAUAUAUUGAUCGACACUCUUUGUAAGAAAGGACUGGUUUCAAAUGCACAGAUUAUAAUCAAAAUAAUGAUUCAAAGAGGUGUGGAGCCUAAUACUGUCAAUUAUAAUUCAUUGAUGGAUGGUUAUUGUCUUUGCAAGCAAAUUGAUAAGGCUAGAAAGCUAUUUGAUCUGAUGGUGACCAAUGAAAUAGCUGACAUUUUUAGCUACAGCAUUUUGAUCAAUGGAUAUUGUAAGUGCAAAAUGAUAGAUGAUGCAAAGGAUAUUUUUGUUGAAAUGUCUCAUAAAGGUUUAGUUCCUGAUGCUGUUACUUAUCAUACUCUUAUAAAGGGUAUGUUUCAAGCAGGAAGGCCCCAAAAUGCAAAAGAGCUCUUUAGGAAUAUGUGCUCUCAUGGUCAACAGCCAAAUAUAGUAACCUUCUCAAUUAUGAUUAAUGGCUUGUGUAGUCAGGGGAAUCUGGAUGAAGCACUCACCCUAUUGAAAGAAAUGGAGGAAAGUCGGUUGAAGCCUGAUCUUGUGACCUAUUGCAUUCUGAUCAAUGGUAUGUGCAAAGUUGGGAAGAUUAAUGAUGCCAAGGAACUUUUUUCUAGUCUUUUUGAAAUUGGUUUACAACCUGAUGUUUAUGUAUAUAAUGCAAUUAUGAAAGGACUCUGCCAACAAGGACUAAUGGACGAAGCGUAUAAGGUAUUUAGAGACAUGGAAAAGGGAGGAUGUUUACCGAAUAAUUGUUGUUAUAAUAUCAUCAUUCAAGGGUUUCUCAAGCAUGAGGAUUUACCAAAAGCAUCAGAACUAAUCAACGAAAUGGUUGAUAAGGGGUUCUCUGCUGAUGAUGCUAACACAGCAUUGGUAGUACAUUUAUCGCGGAAUAAUGAUCUCAUUCUGAGGCUUUUAAAGGUGCGCAAUGAGGGAUCAGCAAACUAAAGUUGUUAUAUCUUGACCAUUCAAGUUGUCUUGGAGCGCAACUUGGUAAUUACCUUUUUCAAAUAUAAUAGAUAUGUAAUUUAACUAACUUCUUCAAAUAUCAUUUUUAAUUUCAAUCAGCUGUGAUUCUCUUCCACAAAAUAAAAAUUUCUAACACGGCAAAUGACCUGUGGUGGAAACCAUGACAUGUGUGUGCCUUUCGCUUGAAUUCAGACAUGGACUUGAUCUCUUUGAGAUAAGAUUGUUGAUGAAUGGAGGUCAUGGAUUUCUAAUGAUCAAGUUGCUGGUAAACCCACCAUCUCCUUACAAUUUUUUAUUGGCUGCUACUACAGCCUCAACUGGAGAGCUCAGUCCUAAAAUUGAGUUGAGAACUAAAACUAAUUGGUUCCAUACUACAAUGCUUAAGAAUCUUUAUCUAUUUUUAUUUUUGUGCUCAAUGACCUUUUAAAAUGCUAUCAUUUCUCUUGUAGGUACUUGCAAGGAUAUGAUUACAACUUCACCUUUCUAACAAUAAAAAAGGUCUAAGCAAUUCUUUUUUGCUUAAUUAUUAUUCUAUUUUUAAUAAUUUUGAAAAUAAUGAUUAUAAAUCAGUGUGCUUUAAUUGAGAAUUGAUUUAACAAUUAGACUACACUAUAAAUGCAGGGUGCAGGAUAUACGGUCCCAGAGUACAAGGUAAGAGAAUCACUACACAUCUACAGCUGUUGGUUGGAUGAAAUGUCACUAAAAUUAUACACAACCGAAAAUGUUAUGGGAAUUGGGGAAAGGCAAACAUCCUCUUUGUNNNNNNNNNNNNNNNNNNNNNNNNNNNNNNNNNNNNNNNNNNNNNNNNNNNNNNNNNNNNNNNNNNNNNNNNNNNNNNNNNNNNNNNNNNNNNNNNNNNNNNNNNNNNNNNNNNNNNNNNNNNNNNNNNNNNNNNNNNNNNNNNNNNNNNNNNNNNNAUAUAUAUAUAUAUAUAUAUAUAGAUCCUUAAUUUCUUUUAUUUUCCUUCAAGUCAAAUUAGUGAAAUCAUUGCAUUAGCAUCUAAUAAUAUGAAGUUCACAAUCUUUUCCAAUGAAAUCAAUUUUUUAACAUGAAAAUUUGAAUUUUAGAAAUGUUUGUGGAAGGUAUAUAUAUUCUUCCCUUCGAGAUUCUUUAUUUUGUGCCAAGUUGAUUGGAUGUACUGUUUGAAAUGUUAGUUAAGUUAGGCAAGAAAAGUUGUUUUGGUUGUUUCUUUUCUCCUUUCAGCAGUAUAUAAUGAGACAUCUUAUGUUUUUACCACUUUCUAAUAUACUACUCAAUAAAAUUUUCUUUGGGCUCUUGUUUGUACAUGGUAUUUUUCUUUUUGCUUGAUGAUUCUUGAAGUUUUUGUGACUGCAUCCAUGGGAAUUGGUUUGUUAGGGAAGGUGGGGCUGACAGGGUACAUAUUGAGAGGUAGGAAACCAAUUGCAAAAUGAUUCAGAUCCUUUUACUCUUCAAAACUCAGAUAAUCCAAGUAGAAUUCUCAUAUCUGCACCGUUAAAUUAAGUAUAAAGAAUAUAUAGUUAAAAAGAUAAAUCUAUUUAUAUCCAUUUAAUUUUAAUUUUUUUUUAUCCGUUUGUAAAUUUAUUUUUUUUAUAGUGCUAGAGGUUUAAUAAGUUGGAGAGAGCAGGGCUCACAGCAGCCUCACUCUCUUGUAACCAUUCAAAGACUCGAGUCAUAUCAGUGGCGUUAAUAGCAUCUCUUGAUAUGUCACCUCUCUAGAAAAUUUGAACCCAUCCUAAAAAAAAAAGCAAGCAAACCACCGCACUUUCAGUGGCCGGAAGAGUGAUAUCACAUCUAUGAAUUGACUUAAACCAAGACUGGUCUUUAAAAUACUCUCACCAUGAAGCUCUAAAUUUACAACUGCAAAAGUAAAAAUAGAAAAACACAAUAUUUUCACCCCAGCCAUAGAGACAAGGAGAGUAAACCCAUAUCCAAGACUCGAGGAAGCCAUCCCUUAAAAGGAACAGGGAACGGUUGCAGGACUAACCAUUAGUAGAGAAACAAGGUUUGCCCUCAGAAGUAAACAGGCAGAGAUAAAGCACUCUCUCUUUAACUUUCACGGCUCUUAUUCAAAAAUUUGAUUUCAAAUUAUAAAAAUAUGCUUUUAUAUUAUAGCAAUUCUUAUCUAAACCAGCUUAACAUUAACUUAAAAUAUAAAUAUAUAAGAUUUUUCUUACAUUAGGUUUACAUAACUAUUUUUUUAUAUAUUAAAUAUACCCUUAAUUAAAAUGAUUUUUUUUCUAUUACAUGAAAAUAUAUUUGCACCUAUUUUCAAAUAAAACUUUAAUAUAAUUAAAAUAAACUAUGUUUGCCUUUGGUUAACAUACCAUUCACUCAUAUUACUCCUUAAAUAUUAAAGAACUCAUACUAUUAGAAGAUUUUUAAAAUCAGUAAAUUUUACUUUUUUUCAAUAGAUAUUAAAUAGAAUAUAUUAAUAAACUAAUAAAUAAAUCAUCAUAUACAAGUUCAUAUAAUUUAACAUUACACUGCUGAUUGCAACUACUUAGCUCCAUAACGCCAUUCUCUAAAACCCCAACUCUCACACCCAACCCUCUGCAAUAAACACAGAAACAAAACCUCAUCUCUCUCUCUCUCUCUCCCCUCAAAAGAAAAUCAAUAUAUAAUAUGUAAGUGAUCAAGUGAUUGAUUAUGGACAUCAUAGAUCUAACAGAAAAUUAUACCUUGCAAUUCACCCCCACAAAAAUAUUUUCCCGGCAAAGAACGAUCAUUCGAGCCGCUGUGUAUUCGAGCUCUCCAAUGACCACAGCUUGAAGUUACUUCAUUGUCUUGUUAGUGAAUGAUCAAGUAAUUCUUGAGAAGCAUUACCUCUUCUGGUUGGUAUUAAUUUUGUUGAGAAGCAAGCCAGGCAUCUCAUCAAUAAUGGCGAUUUACGCUUAUAGGAACGCGCUGAGCAGCUUCGCUACUGUUUCCGAACCAUUCACUGUUAUAAGAAGACCAAAGAGAAAGUCCACUUUUGUAUGAUAAGCUGUCAAUGAGAAAAUGAUCCUGAAUUCCUAUUCGUUGCCUCGGUGUGCUCAUCGACCUCGCCUUUGCCUUUGCAGAUUCUGUUGCAGCCAUGUAAGUUGGGAAAACAGGAGAAUUCAGUGCAGAACUGUCAUCUCCUGUAGUAUUCCGUUGUGUCCGACAAAAUGAUCUUCUUGGAAAUGACACUGGUGAACUCAAUGCUUCUAUGUUAUCUCGUUUCCGUGAACUCAUUUUCACUUGUGUUGUACCAAAUAUGUCACUUGCUUUCAGAUUCUCUAUCCGUUCUCUAGCCAAUUCUUCCAGCCAGUGUCUCUGUCUAUCAGGUUCAUUCUUGGCUAUUGAUUCUUCCAGUACAUAGAUAAGAAAGUAAAAAAGAGAUGUUUUUUUAAGAAUAUAAUCUUCGUUAUAUUAAUCUUCACAGUACACACAUGAUUUAAAUAAGAGAAUUGAUAACUAAAGUUGCCUAUUGAAUAGGAGAGAAUAAUGGAAAAAUAUCAUCAGUAAGUGAAUGAAUCACCCUAAGAAUCCUAAUCACAAGACUCAUUCAAUUGUAUAAUAUUUACAAAAUUAACACUUAUCACUCCAAUACUCAAGCCUUAGCACAGCAGCCUUAUUACUCCUGAGAGGUGGAACCAUUCUUAUGACUCCCUGAACUAGUAUCCCCCCUCAAAUUGUGUCCAGAAUGGAGACAGAGUUUGCGUCGAAAUUGUGCUAGACGAGUUUUUGUCAUUGACUUUGUAAAUAUAUCAGCAACUUGAUAUGCUGAGGGAAUGUAUCUCGUGAUCAGAACUCCUUGAGCAACGCGUUCUCUGACAUAGUCUAUAAAUCUUGAUUUUGGAUCAGUUACCAACACUCAAUAAAGUCUAUAAAUCUAUAUGCAGCCACUGAGUGUGUUGAUGGACAAGCAACUGCAAUUGGUCCUACUAGGGAUUGGAAUGCUAAUUUAGCUUCAGGUAUUUAACAGGACUUUUUGUCCAAAUGUAUUUAUGAACAAGUUCAUAAAAGGCAGGUUAGCUCUAUAUAUAACACAAGUAUAAUCUUGCAAUAUACUUGAUAAAAUUUUCUUUGAGCUGUUAUUUACACACCACCUGCAGUAGGUAUCCAGUCUUAAAUUAGUUAGAUAUUCAAUAAAAGGACUUUUUAUAUGAUUCCAAUAAUUCUCUACAUAAUAUGUUCCUUAAAACAAAAUUUGAUUCAAUUUAUUUUAACACCAUAAUUCUUUAUAAAAAAAAUAGCUACAAAAUUUCUUACAGUUAGUAAUUUAAUGGUCAUGGUCAGUAAACGGUCAGUAACUUAUUUUACAAAUCACUUUUUCCAUAAUUUGAUCAGUUAACAUGAUUUCUUCUGGUGCGUUAUUAUUUAUAAAUACUAAUAAUUACAUUGUAAAAUUUAUAAUUUAUUUUUAUUAAUAUAAUUUAUUUAAUUAAUUUAUAAUAUAAUAUUUUAAUUUACAUUUAAAAUUCACAUGUUCACGUCUAUUUUAAUGGAUUAAAAAAUUAUACAAAUAUAUAUUAUUUAAAAUAUUUCAAUUUAAUUUGUUCGAUUAAUUUACUAUUUUAAUUUAAUUUAUGUUCUAUUAACAAAUAUAAUAUUAAACUUUUAAUAGAUUAAAUAUUUUAUUAAAACUAUUAUAUGUUUUAAUAAUUUACUUAUAUUAAGGUUAGUAAUUAGAUAUAUUUGUCUAUACUAUAAAAUCUCAAUAUCAUACAAUACAUUAUUAAUAAAUAUACUACAUAAUUAGUUCAGGCGAGAAAGUGGGCAACAUGCUACAAACUAUAAUUCUUGCUAAGAAUUAGAAUUAAAUUAAAUUUGUAAUACUUUAAUAUAAAGAAAAACUAUAGUUCUUACUAAGAAUUAGAACCAAAUCAAAUUUUUAAUACUUUAAUGCAUUUCAAACUAAAUUUCGGUAUAGUUCUAAUACGAUUCUAAGUAAUUUUAGUACUAUCUCAAUUUGAUUUUAAUUUUUUUAUUUUAAUUUUAUUUCAAUUUAAAUUUUAAUUUUUACAAAUAAAAUCAUAAUAGCUUUUACGCAUAUUUUNNNNNUACAACUCUUGAUAAGAAUAUUUUAUUAUUUUAUGUAGUUAUUAAUUAUAUAAUUUUAAUUAAAAAAUGUAUGAAAUUAAUAUAUAAAUAUAUAUUAUAUUACUAAUAAUACAUUUAUAAUUGAUAUAAAAAAAGGAUGUAUAUAUCAUUCGAGUAUAAUAAUUUUUUAAAAAAUAUAUAUAUGUUAAUGAUAAUUUUAUUAAAUAACAGAUAUUAGCAAAUAUAAUAAAAAUUUGAAUAUUUCAAUUACAGUAAAAAAAUCAACUAAAAUGAUACAUUUUCUUAAUUUUAUUUUAUUAUAAUUUUUUUAUAACUUUGAUUAAAUAUAUUCAUAUAAUAAUGUGAUAUUAAGAUAAUAGGAGCCCAAAUUUAAUAGUCUAUUUGCAAUAAUAAUAAUAAUAUAUAAAAAAAUUAAUAAAGAGAUGAAAAAAUAACGGUAAAAUAUUGUUUAGUUUAUGAAAGUGUUAAAUUUGGUUGUGGAUAAAUAGAGUGGUUUAUUGAAGAUUUUGAAAUCAAAUGGACAUUCAAAGCCGCAAUAUAAAGAUUUAUUUGGCUUUAAAGAGAGAUAAAUCAACGUCAAUCAGACUGUGUAUCUUACUAGAGGUUCUUGUAUCCCACUUCUGAUUAGAUUGAUAAGAGAAUAAGAGACAGCUGAGGUUCAAGAGGUGAUUUGUUCAGAUCACAUGGGCAACUCAUACAAAAUUAAAUAUAAAAGGAAGUUUUUUCUUAGAAAUCUGAUAUAUUUUUCUAUGCUACAAAAUCUCAGUACAAGCGAGAUAGUGGGCAACAUGCUAAAAUAAAAAGCUAUAGUUCUGAUACUUUUAUCAUCAGAUUUUACUACAAUAUAUUUUAAUCUAUUAGUAAUUUUAACAGAUUUAUUAAAAAUUUUGAAAAUCCUUCAAUAAUUCUUAAUAUAAAACAUUAUAUAAAAAUUCACCAAUAGAUUUGAAAUCUGUUGGUAAUCUACUAGUAUUACUAACAAAUUUAAAAAUUUAUUGGAAAUUUAUAAAUUUAUAAAAUAAUUGGUAUUGAUAUUUAUCAACAGACUUAAAAUUUAUUAGUAAAUCAUUAACAAUUUUAAUCUGUUAGUAAAUUUAGGGGUGGAAAUGAAACAAACCGUUUGUGACCGUUUGUGAGCUAUUCGAGAUUCGACUCGAUAAAAACUUGACCGAACUCGACUCGAUUUCUAAACGAUUCAAACUCGAACUUAAUUUUUAGGCUUGUUUAGUAAACAAGGCAAACUUAAACCAUAUAGUGUCUUGUUAAGACUCGUGAGCUCGACUUGCGUUCGAAUUUAUGAGCAGACUGGUGAAUAGUCUCGUUAAGCAGACUGAAAUUAAUAUCAUAAGAGAAAUAAAUUUAACUCCUGCAUAUAUUUUCAUGAGGCAAAUCUAAAUUUUAUAAAAUUCAAUUCUAUAUUAUUUAAUUAUACUAUUAAAACUUGCAUAUUUGGAUUAUUAAGAGCUCAUUUUUAUAAGUUUAUAAGCUAAUUUUUAUAUGUGAAAGUCAGCUGCUUGCUUGAUGUGGGACGUCCCACAUCGGCGAAGUACAAAAAAUCAAAAUUGUAUAUAAUAAUUAGUAUGAAACUACUAAAUAACUUGAGUUAACCAUUUUGAGUUAGGUGGAAACUGAAUUCCAAGUUAUUUGGGUCAAAACUACCCCUGAGUCAGAGCUAGUGGCCCUGUCACAAUACCGAAGUUGAGCUUAUUAAUACUUAACUCGUCUAAAUUCAGUUCGAGUUCGAAAUGAGUAAAACUCGAGUUUGGCUUGAACUUAAAAAAAUUUUAACGAACUAAAUUUGAACUCUUCAAAUCUCAGCUCUACUCGUCGUUUACACCCUAAGUAAAAUUUUAAAAGUGUUUAAACUACUAACGGAUUUAAAAAUCCGUUACUAAAUAUUAUCAUCAAAUUAAUAAGUAUUAAAUUUAUUAACGGAUGCUAUCCACUAAUAAAUCUUUUAAUAAAUUUAAAAUAAAAUCCUACAAAAAAUUUCUGCAUUCUUUUUUUAUAACUCAUAUUUUUCAAAUUUUAAAUCCAUUGGUAAUUUUUUGAGAGAAAAAAAAAAAUUUUUUUUCAAAAUUUAGUAACGAGUCGUAAAUUUAUUAGUAAUUCACGUUUAUAAAUAUAACACAAACUCCUCUACUUUUAUCAUUCAUUCAUUUUAUAUCAUCCACCUUUCUUUCAUUUUUUUCACUUUCUCUCAUUUUCUUUUUUUCUAUUACAUUCUUUCAUUUUAUUUUUUUAUCUCAUAAUUUUUUUUUAUUUUUCUAUUAUUUUUCUUUCCUCUCUUAUCCUAUUUUCUCAUGGUUCUCUUUUAUCUUCUAUUAUUUUUUUCAUUCUUCAUAAUUUUCCUUUCAUUUUCUCCCUUUUCUUUUCCAUAUUUUUUUUUUCCUUUCCUCUCUAUACUUUUCAUUCAUAUUAGUUUUUUUAAUAUUAUUUUCUUCUAUUAUUUUCUUUCUAUUUACAUUUUUUCUAUUAUUUUCUCUUUAUUUAUUUUCUUCUCUAAGCAUUUGUUCACUUUUUUUCAUUUUUCUAAUCAUCUUUUUACUCAACUCUCAUUCAUUCUUUUUUUUCAUAAUUUUUAUUUUUCUAUUAUUUUCUUUAUUUUUCUCUUUUUUCUUUAUUUUUUAUUAUUUUCUCUCAUUUUAUACCAUUUAUUUUUUUAUUUUCACUUUUUUAGAUAUAAAUUAAAAACUUGGUAACAAUAAUAAUAUAAUUUUAAGUCUUAUUAAAUUAAUAAAAAAUUAUUUAAACUCUCAAUAGAUAUAUUAAUGAAUUGCAAUUCAUUGAUAAUUGACUAACAGAUUUCACAUCUGUUAAUAAAUUAUUUUUCUCUUAUACUAACGAAUUUAAAAUUUAUUAAUAAUUUAAAAUCUAUUAGUAAUAAUAGCGGGAAUUCCAUUAGUAAAUCCACUAGUUUACUGACGAAAUUAAAAACUGUUGGUAAAAAUUUAAUACCGACAUUUUAAUAACGGAUCGUAAUCUAUUAGAAAUCCCUUAUUAAUUAAUUUACCAACGAAUUUUUAUUAGAUUGCUAAUGGAAAAAUCAAUGCAUUAUUAAUAUAAAUUAAGAAGUUGAUUCUUAUCUUUACAAUAAGAUAUCUUUUAAACUCUUAAAAAUUUUGAAGCUAAAAUUGAAGAAACAUUCAUGACGUUAUAUUUUUCAUUUCAUGCAAGAUGAUAUCUGUUAUUGGAAUGCAUAUGAUUAUUUUAUUGAUAUAAAAUAAGUAUAAAGAAUAUACAAUUAAAAAGAUAAUUAUACUUAUCGAUCCGUUCGUAUCAUUUAAUUUUACUGUCUCUUUAUAAAUCUAUUUAUAUCCAUUUAAUUUUAAUCUCAUAUAGGUAAAUUAUAAGAGAUGAAGAGUUCUCCUUCCUUCCCUAUAAAAAGAGAAGGCCUCUCUUCCCUUCAAUAUUAGUACCUGAUUUUUUAUAAUUUAUAAUAUAAUAUACUAUAUAUUAAAUGUAUAGAAAUAAUUUAAUUAUUAUAAAUUUAAGUUAAUAUUAUUAAUAAUAAAAUAAAAUAAUAAAUAAAAUUUAAAAUGCAAAAUAUAUUUAGUGAGUUUAACAUUUCAAAAUUUUAUUAUUUUGAAAUAAUUUUAUAUNNNNNNNNNNNNNNNNNNNNNNNNNNNNNNNNNNNNNNNNNNNNNNNNNNNNNNNNNNNNNNNNNNNNNNNNNNNNNNNNNNNNNNNNNNNNNNNNNNNNNNNNNNNNNNNNNNNNNNNNNNNNNNNNNNNNNNNNNNNNNNNNNNNNNNNNNNNNNNNNNNNNNNNNNNNNNNNNNNNNNNNNNUUUUUUCCUCAUCUAUAUUAUAUACAAUUAGACUAUAAUAAUAUUUUUAAAAAUAUACAUUGAUAAUUAUUUAUUCAAUAAGGAAUAUUAUUUAAUAAAAUAAAAAAUCAAUAUUCUACAAUUAUAUUUAUAAUAUUUUAUUUAAAAAUAUAAAGUUAACAAAAUUAAUUAAUUUUCAAAUAAAUUUAAUUAAAUAUAAGGUACGGUUAUAAUAAAAUAUUAUUUUUAUGAAAAUCAAUUUAAUUAAUUCUCUAUAUUUUUAUUAAGAAUCAAAUAAAUUUAAUUUAAAAUUUUUAAAACUUUAAGCUAAUUAAACUAUAUAAUUUUAUUAAAGGCUAAAUAGAUUCUAACUUAAAAUGAUUUUUUAAUAAUAAAAUAUUAUUUUUAUAAUUUAAAAUAUUAAAAUUUAAUAUUUUAAUUAUCAUAAAAUUUUUAAAAAUAUAUAAAUAUAAUAAAUAAUUUUUAAAAUUAUAAAAAAAAAAGUUUUAUCAUAUAAAAAUUUUUAUUAUUAAAAAAUAAUAUUAUGUUAGAUUAUGAUUUAUUUGACUUUUGAGUAAUAAUAUAGAGAUUUAAUUUAUUUAAAAUUUUGAAUUAAAAUUAUUUAACUCUUCAAUAAAAGUAGAGACUUAAUUGCAUUUAUAUUUAUAAAAUUAUUAUUAUAAAAUGAUAAAUUUAAUUUGUUAUUAAAUAAUAUUUUUAUAUGAAAAAUUAAUUAAAAAAAUUACAAAAUGUGGCGCAUAUAAACAAUUCCCAAUUUCCUUUUGUUAUCCUUACCACAUUACCAGCAGGCAGAGAGCCUUCCUUUUCCGAUUCUCUAUUUCCGUUUCUCAUUCCCAAUCUCCGAUCCAUCCCUAAAAACGACUGACAAGAGAUCGAUGAUGAUGAAGAUGCCUUGGAGGAGGAAGAGCAGGAGCUUCCAUCUUCAGCUACAAGGGGCAAUUGGUACCAUUCAAUCUCCAUUCCUAUUCUUAUUUACCAAUUAUUGUCAUUCUUCUACUUCCACACUUGAAGAUGCACGCUUCUUGACAAAUAACUUCAAAUCUGCUUCUUUUACCCACCUUGAUGAUGCCAUUGCUUCCUUCAAUCAUGUAAUUCAUAAGCAUCCUCUGCCUUCUAGGGUUCCAUUUAAUAGAUUCUUAUCUGCCCUUGUGAAAAUGAAACAAUAUCACACUGUCCUUUCCAUGUCCAAAACAAUUGAAUUGCUAGGAAUCUCUCACGAUGUUUAUUCUCUUAGCAUAUUAAUUAAUUGCUUCUGCCAUUUACACAUUGUGGAUUUUGGCUUCUCUGUUUUUGGUAAGAUGCUCAAAUUCGGAUUGGAGCCUACCACUGUGACGUUUACUACCUUAAUUAAUGGGCUUUGUAUGGAGAGUAAAAUCCAUAAAGCAGUGGAAUUUUUCGAUGAUAUGGUUGCACGUGGUUAUCAACCUAAUGUUCGUACUUUCAAUGUGAUAGUAAACGGAUUGUGUAAAUUUGGGAAAACAAACGUGGCUAUUGGGCUACUAAAGGGAAUGGCUGAUAGAGGUUGUGAGCCAAAUGUUGUGACAUACAAUGCAAUCAUUGACGCACUUUGCAAGGAUGAGCUAGUUGGUGAAGCUUUAGAGCUCUUCUCUCAAAUGAGGAAUAAGGGCAUUUCACCUGAUGUCAUCACUUACACUAGUUUAAUUCAUAGUGUUUGCAAAUUAGGCCAAAAGAACCAAGCUUUGGCCUUGAUGAAUGAAAUGGUUGAGUGGAACAUAUUACCAAAUGUUUAUACCUUCAAUGUAUUGAUUGAUGCUCUUUGUAAGGAUGGAAUGGUUUCAGAGUCUCAAAAUACAUUCAAUGUAAUGAUUCAAAGAGGUGUAGAGCCUGAUGUGGUCACAUACAAUUCCUUAAUUGAUGGUCUUUGCAUUUCAGACCAAUUCAAGGAAGCUUUGGCCUUGUUGAAACAAAUGGUGGGGAGGAAUAUAUCCCCUGAUGUUUUUACCUUCAAUAUAUUGAUCGACACUCUUUGUAAGAAAGGACUGGUUUCAAAUGCACAGAAUAUAAUCAAAAUAAUGAUUCAAAGAGGUGUGGAACCUGAUGUUGUCACUUAUAAUUCAUUGAUGGAUGGAUAUUGUCUAUGCAAGCAAAUUGAUAAGGCUAGAAAGGUAUUUGAUCUGAUGGUGACCAAUGAAAUAGCUGACAUUUUAGGCUACAGCAUUUUGAUCAAUGGAUAUUGUAAGUGCAAAAUGAUAGAUGAUGCAGAGGAACUUUUUGAUGAAAUGUCUCAUAAAGGUUUAGUUCCUAAUGUUGUUACUUAUCAUACUCUUAUAAAGGGUAUGUUUCAAGCAGGGAGGCCCCAAAAUGCAAAAGAGCUUUUUAAGGAUAUGUGCUCUCAUGGUCAACAGCCAGAUAUAGUAACCUUCUCAAUUAUGAUUGAUGGCUUGUGUAGACAGGGGAAUCUCGAUGAGGCACUCGCACUAUUGAAAGCAAUGGAGAAAAGUCGGUUGAAGCCUAAUGUUGUGAUCUAUAGCAGUCUGAUCAAUGGUAUGUGCAAAGUUGGGAAGAUUAAUGAUGCCAAGGAACUAUUUUCUAGUCUUUUUGAAAUUGGUUUACAACCUGAUGUUUAUGUAUAUAGCGCAAUUAUGAAAGGACUCUGCCAACAGGGAUUAAUGGAUGAAGCGUAUAAGGUAUUUAAAGACAUGGAAAAGGUAGGAUGUUUACCAAAUAAUUGUUGUUAUAAUAUCAUCAUUCAAGGGUUUCUCAAGCAUGAGGAUUUACCAAAAGCAUCAGAACUAAUCAACGAAAUGGUUGAUAAGGGGUUCUCUGCUGAUGCUGCUACCACAGAAUUGGUAGUACAUUUAUUGCGGAAUAAUGAUCUCAUUCUGAGGCUUUUAAAGGCGCGCAACUAGGGAUUAGCAAACUAAAGUUGUUAUAUCUUGACCAUUCAAGUGUAUCUUGGAGCGCAACUUGGUAAUUACCUUUUUCAAAUAUAAUAGAUAUGUAAUUUAACUGACUUCCUCAAAUAUCAUUUUUAAUUUCAAUCAGCUGUGAUUCUCUUUCACAAAAUGAAAAUUUCUAACACCGCAAAUGACCUGUGGUGGAAACCAUGAUAUGUGUGUGCCUUUCGCUUGAAUUCAGAUAUGGACUUGAUCUCUUUGAUAUAAGAUUGUUGGAGAAUGGAGGUCAUGGAUUACUAAUGAUCAAGUUGCUGGUAAACCCACCAUCUCCUUUACAAUUUUAUUUUUGGUUGCUACUACAGCCUUAACUCGAGAGCUCAGUCCUAAAAUUGAGUUGAGAACUAAAACUAAUUGGUUUCAUACUACAAUGCUUAACAAUCUUUAUCUAUUAUUAUUUUUGUGCUCAAUGACCUUUUAAAAUGCUAUCAUUUCUCUUGUAGGUACUUGCAAGGAUAUGAUUAGAACUUCACCUUUUUAACAAUAAAGGUGUAAGCAAUUCUUUUUGCUGAAUUAUUAUAUUUUUAAUAAUAAUGAAAAUAAUGAUUAUAAACCAGUGUGCUUUAAUUGAGAAUUGAUUUAACAAUUAGACUACCCUAUAAAUGCAGGGUGCAAGAUACAGUACCAGAGUACAAGGUAAGAGAAUCACUAGACUUCUACGGCUGUUGGUUGGAAUAAAUGUCACUAAAAGUAUAGACAACAGAAAAUGUUAUGGGAAUUGAGGGAAAAGCAAAAAAAGACUAUGAAAAUCAGACAUAUGCAGCCACUGAGACAAGCAACUGCAAUUGGUCCUACUAGAGAUUGAAAUGCUAGUUUAGCUUCAGCUAUUUAACAGGACUUUUUGUCCAAAUUUAUUUAUGAACAAGUUCAUAAAAGGCAGGAUAGCUCUAUAUAUAACUCAGCUAUAAUCAAAGAAGGUGGCAGGAAAAAUGUCAAUACAAUGAAACUUCAUCUGAUUAAAUGGAAUACUCUUUGGUUGCCUAAAAAGAAUGGAGGCUUAGGCAUGAAAGAGAUCUGUCUUCAAAUUCAAGCUCUUUUGUUCAAAUGGCUUUGGAGAUUUGGAAAUCAUAGGGAUUCACUCUGAGUUCAACUUCUUCUAUCCAAAUAUUCUUUCAAUUUGGAGAAGGGUAUCUCUCUUGCUCCAGGAAAUUGCAUUUCUUCCCUUCAGAAAGACAUUCGAGGGUAUGCUACUUUCGAUGAACUCUUUCUCCUCUCCUUGAAUUCAUAUCAGAUUUGCUGUGGGGAAUGAGAUGAAAAUGAAAUUUUGGAAUGAGAGACGAUCGGUUGGUAAUAUUGCUCUCAAAUUCUCCUUUAGCAGACUAUUAAAUUUAGCUGCUAACCUAGAUGUGUUGAUGUUAAAUACGGGCUGUUGGGUGAAGAGCAAAUGGGAAUGGGAAAUAAUUGAAUUGUCAAUAUUAUACUUAAUCUUUUAUAUUAUUUCUAAUAAUAUAUUUUAUUAUUUAAAUAAAUUUAUUUUAGAGUUUUUAUGAAUUUAAAAUUUUAAGUUCCAUAAAUAAAUGUGGCAAUAUUUAUGUAAGAUUGUAAAUUCAAUAUUUUUUAAAAAGGUAGUUUUAGAAAAAAUAAAAUCGAUUUUGUAAACAACUUUUAAAAAAUGGAAAACCCAAUUACUUUAAAAAUAUCCAUUUCCAUAUAAAUUUAAUUAAAAAAUAAAUAUUUGCUUCUUUUUUUUUUAACUUUCAUUCCCCAUUAUUAUUUAUAAAUACUAAUAAUUACAUUGUAAAAUUUAUAAUUUAUUUUUAUUAAUAUAAUUUAUUUAAUUAAUUUAUGAUAUAAUAUUUUAAUUUGCAUAUAAAAUCCACAUGUUCACUACUAUUUUAAUGGAUUAAAAAACUAUAUAAAUAUACAUUAUUUAAAAUAUUUGAAUUUGAUUUGUUCAAUUAAUUUACUAUUUUAAUUUAAUUUAUGUUCUAUUAACAAAUAUAAUAUUAAAAUUUUCAUAGAUUGAGUAUUUUAUUAAAACUAUUAUAUAUUUUAAUAAUUUACUUAUAUUAAGACUAUUAUUAAUUAUUAAAAUUCUAAUACUAUUAAAAUAAAAAAUUUUAUUUUUUUUAAUAAGAGUACAGUUUUGUGAAUAAUAUUUUUUAUAUAUUAAAAUAAAAUUAUAAAUAAAAUAAUUAAAAAUAAAUAUUAUACAUGUUAAAAAAUUAAUAAUUAUUAAAAUUUGAAUAAUUAAUAUUAUUAAAAUACAAAUGGAAUUUAUAAAUAAUUAAUUUAGUGUGAAUAUUUCAUAUAAUUUGUGAUAAUCUAUCCCAUUUCAAACUCCUAACAAAAAAAUCUACUGACCUAUAAACUAAAUCUGCCAUCUUAAGAAACUUAAAACCAUAAAACCAAGAAAUUUUAUUUAUUCUCAGAAUUAUAAACUUAACCAUCACUUAAUUACCAUAUUUACCGAUUAACAUUAAUAAAUUAAAAUGAAAAUAAUUACAUAAUUAAUAAAAAUUCUUCUUCACUGCUUUAAUUUGCAAUUUUUUUUAAAACCAAUUAAUAAACUAAUCCAGCUAAAAAAUUUUAUUUAAUGCUAAAAAUCUAAAUUUUAUCAGAAAAAUCUAAUCUUUAUCCAUAUAUAUAAAUUGAAUCCCAAUUACUCUUCUCUCCUAUAAAAUUUCCUUUUGAGUUUUCUCACUCUCAAACAUUUUCUUAACUUAGAAAAUUUUAAUCAAUAAUGCCAUCGUGGAGAGCUUCUAACAUGAAAAUGGAUUCUCGCUCGAAAAUUUUAGGUCAACGACAUGUAACCAAGUCAUCUUUUUCCUACAAGUUACUUUCUAGUUCGACUGAUCAAAAAACUAAAAUACCGCAAAUUCAAAAGGGUUAUGUAGCAAUAUACGUGGGUGACGAGAGAAAGAGAUAUCAAGUUCUAAUAGAGAAUCUAGAGUUUUCGACAUUACAAGAACUUAUUAAACAGUCUCACGAUAGUGAUUUCGACUCCAAGAUUGAUGGACCAAUCGUGCUUACUUGCACUACUGAUAGGUUUGAUGAACUCCUGAAAUUUAUAAAUGGUUGACAUAUAAAACUUUAGAGAGUUUUAAAUAAUUAUUUUUUAUAUGUUUAAAUUACUAAUAAAUCCUUAUAUUUUAUCAAAAUUAGCUAUUUAAUCCCUAUUUUCAAAUCAUUAAAUUAAAACAUUUUGAAUUUUAUAAAGUCAAACUCUUUGAUAUUCUUAACGAAUAAAAUAUUAGUAAAUAUAUUUUUAAUUUUAAUUAGAAAAAUUAAAUUAUAUAUAUAAUUAAAAAAUAAAUAAAUAAUAUAAAAAUUUAUUUUAAUCGAAUAACAUAAAAAUAAAAAAUUAAAUAGUCAAUUUUGAUAAAAUAUAAUAACCAAAUAAUAAUUCAGACCCUUCAUGGCAAUUUCUCAGUAAUUUUAUCGAUUAUAUCUACCAUUUAUAUACCUCCUUUUUCAAGUUUUAUUUUUUCUAUCAUUGAUUUUUGUCAAUUUUUUAUUAUUUUAUCCGAUUUAAAUAAAUAACUUCUAUUUUAUUAUUUUAUUAAUUUUUUUAUUAUUAUUCUAAAGUUAUUGUUCACUUUCUUUCAUUAUAAUAAUAUAUAAUUGACUAUUAUAAUCUUAUUUAAUUUUAUAUUAUUUUCAAAUUAAUCUAUCAUUGAUUAUUAUUUUUUCAAAUAAGUAUUCAAAAUAUUUCUUAAUAUUUAAUAAAAUUUAAUAUUUUUAAAAUAGUAUAAUUGAAAAUUUUAUAAAAUAAAUUAUUUUUUAAUAUGUGUGAAAAAUUUAUAUUCAGAAAAUAAAUUUUUAUUAAAAAAUAAAUAAACUAUUAUAAUUAAAUCAUCAUUAUUUUCAUCUAUUUUUCACUCAUUAAAAUAUAUUUUUAAUGAUAUCAUUAUUAAUAUUUGUAAAUAUAUUUUUUAAUAUAAGUUAUCCAUCAAUUAUUUAUGAUUUAUUAUUGUAGAGUUGAUUUUUAAUUAUAUUUACUGUAAAAAAAAAAUCUUUUCACUAUUGUUAAAACAUGUAAAUUUAUAAAAAAAUUAUAAAAAUAAUAUAAUAUUUUAAUACAGGAUUUACUAUUAAAAUUUAUUUUUUUAAAAAAAAAAUUUAACUCAUUAAAAUUUAUUUUUGUAUAAUUUUAAUUUUAUAAAUAGAUUAAUAACAAAGUAAGAUAAAUAAAAAAAAUUAUAAUUUAAUAAUAAAAAUAGUAUUAUAAAAAUAAAUUAAAUAAUGAGUGAAUAACUUAAAAAAAAAAUUAAGUGGAGAUUUGAAUUUGAAAUCUUAAAAAUGAAAAGUAAAUUUUUUGAAUUGAAAAAUAAUAUAGAAGAUGAGAGAUUAAAUAAUAAAAAUUUCUUUGAUAAAUAUAUUAAAUAAUUUAAAAUUAUAAAAUAUAAUUAUAAUUUAAUUAAAUAAUUUUGAAAUAAGGUCGAAUUGGUAAAUUUUUAAAAUAUAUAAAAAUUUAAUAAUAAUUUUUCAUAUUUUAAGAAAAAUUAUCUAUACACCUUAAAAAAAUUUCAAAAAUUUCAAAAGGCUUAGGAGUCUGUCAAUGUGCACUAUCUUGCUAUUCGUUUGACACCAAACCCUUAGAUAAAGGUAAUAUAGAAAUUAAAACUUUAUUUAUUUCAUAAAAAAUAUUUUAUAAAAAAUAUUACACGUAUAGUUUUAAUAAUAAUAAAAAAAACAGCUAAUUUAGGGGUUAAGUGUCACUUUAUAAUUUUUGUGUUUUUAUUUUUCUAAAAACUAAUUAUAUAAAAAUAAAUAUAAAUUUUUUAUAUAAUAAUAAGAAAUAAUAUAAAUUUUUAAAAUAUGAUAUUUAAUAGCAAAAUAAUAAUUUUUAAAAUAAUAAAAUUUUAAAUUUUAUAAAAAAAUUCACUGAUUGCCCACAUAUAUAUAUAUAUAUAUAUAAAUUGAAUUCCAAUUACUCUUCUCUACUAUACAAUUUUUUUUCGAGUUUCUCACUCUUAAAUCUUUUAUUAAUUUAAAAAAAUUUUACCAAUAAUAUCAAGGCGGGAGCUUUUUAGCAGGAAAAUGAAAUCUCUUUUUAAGAUUUUAGACACCGUUAUACAAUUAAGUCAUAUUUUUCUUAUAAAUUACUCUCAAGUUUGACUAAUUAGAAAGCUAAAAUUCCACAAAUUUAAAUAGGCUAUGUAGCCAUAUACAUAAAUUUUGAAGGUAAGAGAUAUCAAAUUUCAGUAGUGAAUCUGAAGUUUCCAGUAUUACAAGAACUGAUUAAACAGUCUUAAAACAGUAAUCUCGACUCCAAGAUUGAUAACCAAUCGUACUUGCUUGCACUACUGACAAAUUUAAUGAACUACUGAAAUUUAUAGAGGUUAUCAUAUGAAACUUUAGAGAGUUUUAAAUAAUUCUUUUUUAUAUGUUUAAAUUACUAAUAAGUCCUUCCAUUUUAUUAAAAUUAAUCAUUCAAUCUCUAUUUCUAAAUUAUUCAUUUAAAAUAUUUUAAAUUUUAUAAACUCAAAUUCUUUAAUAUUUUUAUCUAAUAAAAUAUUAGUAAAUAUAUUUUUAGCUUUAAUUAGAAAAAAUUAAAUUAUAUAUAAUAUAAAAUUUUAUUUUAACCAAAUGACAAAAUUAAAAAAUUAAACGGUCAAUUUUGACAAAAUAUAAAAGUCAAAUAAUAAUCCACUCUUUUCUAUCUUAAAUUAAUUUUUUGGGUACUUCAUGGAAAAUUCUCAAUAAUAAUCUACUCUUUUAUAUAAAAAUAUUAAUAAAUUAUGUUUACACAACAUAUCAUAGAAAUUAGAUAAUAAAUUUUACUUAUAAAAAAAUUUAAAAUAUUUUUAAUACGGAUAAACUAAUUAAUAAAUAUUUUUAUAAAACUAAAAAAUUAAUUAAUAAAUUUUUAAUAUCAUAAAAACUAAAUAAUAAAAUGUUUAAUAAUUAAAACUAAUAAAAUGACUAAUUAAUAUAUUUUUUAAAAUUUAAAGGAUUUUUUAUUUUAUUUUUCAAAAUUAAUUAAUAAAUUUUUUUAUAUUAAAUAAUAAUUUUUUAUAAUAAUAAAAUAAAGAUAUAUUUUAUAAAUUAAUUAAAUAAAUAUUUAUUUAAUAAUAUGAAUUUGACUGAUGAAAUAAAAUUUUAAAAUUUUUAACGAUAAUUUAAUAAAAGUUAUAUAUAUAUAAAAAAAAAAAUCGCAAUGACAAUAAACAUAUUCUUAACUUUUCUCGUUAAUGGCACGUAUAUAACUAUUAAUAAUAUAAGGUUUUAAAGUGAAAAUACAUAUUUUCUCCAAAUGUCAUAUAGGAAAAAGAAGAAAUGAAAUAUCACUUAAAAUUAUUAUAAAUUAAUAAAUAAUAUAACUUAUAAAUUAUAUAAAUUUACUGUGAGUAGAAAUUGAACUUGUUAUGUAUUUAAUUAUUAUCAUAUUUUAAAUUUAUUAUACAAGAAAAUAAUAAUUUUUUAUUUAAUAAUAACUUUUAUUGUUAUUAAAUUUUUUUUAUCACUAUAUUAAUUAUUAUUAUAUAAAUUUAAUUUGUUAUUAAAUAAUAUUUUUAUAUGAAAAAUUAAUAAAAAAAAUACAAAAUGUGGUGCAUAUAAACAACUAGUAACGCAUUUCCUUUUGUUAUCCUUACCACUUUACCAGCUGGCAGAGAGCCUUCCUUUUCCGAUUCUCUAUUUCCUUUCCUCAUUCCCAAUCUCCGAUCCAUCCCUAAAAACAACUGAGGAGAGAUCGAUGAUGAUGAAGAUGCCUUGGAGGAGGAAGAGCAGGAGCUUCCAUCUUCAGCUACAAGGGGCAAUUGGUACCAUUCAAUCUCCAUUCCUUUUCUUAUUUACCAAUUAUUGCCAUUCUUCUACUUCCACACUUGAAGAUGCACGCUUCUUGACAAAUAACUUCAAAUCUGCUUCUUUUACCCACCUUGAUGAUGCCAUUGCUUCCUUCAAUCAUGUAAUUCAUAAGCAUCCUCUGCCUUCUAGGGUUCCAUUUAAUAGAUUCUUAUCUGCCCUUGUGAAAAUGAAACAAUAUCACACUGUCCUUUCCAUGUCCAAAACAAUUGAAUUGCUAGGAAUCUCACACGAUGUUUAUUCUCUUAGCAUCUUAAUUAAUUGCUUCUGCCAUUUACACCUUGUGGAUUUUGGCUUCUCUGUUUUUGGUAAGAUGCUCAAAUUGGGAUUGGAGCCUAACAUUGUGACAUUUACGACCUUAAUUAAUGGGCUUUGUAUAGAGAGUAAAAUCGACAAAGCAGUGGAAUUUUUCGAUGAUAUGGUUGCACGUGGUUAUCAACCUGAUGUUCGUACUUUCAAUGUGAUAGUAAACGGAAUGUGUAAAUUUGGGAAAACAAAUGUGGCUAUUGGGCUACUGAAGGGAAUGGCUGAUAGAGGUUGUGAGCCAGAUGUUGUGACAUACGGAGCAAUCAUUGACGCCCUUCGCAAGGAUGAGCUAGUUGGUGAGGCUUUAGAGCUCUUCUCUCAAAUGAGGAAUAAGGGCAUUUCACCUGAUGUCAUCACUUACACUGGUUUAAUUCACGGUGUUUGCAAAUUAGGCCAAAAGAACCAAGCUUUGGCCUUGAUGAAUGAAAUGGUGGAGCAAAACAUAUUACCAGAUGUUUAUACCUUCAAUGUAUUGAUUGACGCACUUUGUAAGGAUGGAAUGGUUGCAGAGGCUCAAAAUACAUUCAAUGUAAUGAUUCAAAGAGGUGUAGAGCCUGAUGUGGUCACCUACAAUUCCUUAAUUGAUGGUCUUUGCAUUUCAGACCAAUUCAAGGAAGCUUUGGCCUUGUUGAAAGAAAUGGUCGGGAGGAACAUAUCCCCUAGUGUUUUUACCUUCAAUAUAUUGAUCGACACUCUUUGUAAGAAAGGACUGGUUUCAAAUGCACAGAAAAUAAUCAAGAUAAUGAUUCAAAGAGGUGUGGAACCUGAUGUUGUCACUUAUAAUUCAUUGAUGGAUGGAUAUUGUCUGUACAGGGAAAUUGAUAAGGCUAGAAAGGUAUUUGAUCUGAUGGUGACCAAUGAAAUAGCUAACAUUUUUAGCUACAGCAUUUUGAUCAAUGGAUAUUGUAAGUGCAAAAUGAUAGAUGAUGCAAAGGAACUUUUUGAUGAAAUGUCUCUUAAAGGUUUAGUUCCUAAUGUUGUUACUUAUUCUACUCUUAUAGAGGGUAUGUUUCGAGCAGGGAGGCCCCAAAAUGCAAAAGAGCUUUUUAAGGAUAUGUGCUCUCAUGGUCAACAGCCAGAUAUAGUAACCUUCUCAAUUAUGAUUGAUUGCUUGUGUAGACAGGGGAAUCUCGAUGAGGCACUCACACUAUUGAAAGCAAUGGAGAAAUGUCAGUUGAAGCCUAAUGUUGUGAUCUAUAGCAGUCUGAUCAAUGGUAUGUGCAAAGUUGGGAAGAUUAAUGAUGCCAAGGAACUUUUUUCUAGUCUUUUUGAAAUUGGUUUACAACCUGAUGUUUAUGUAUAUAAUGCAAUUAUGAAAGGACUCUGUCAACAAGGAUUAAUGGAUGAAGCGUAUAAGGUAUUUAAAGACAUGGAAAAGGUAGGAUGUUUACCAGAUAAUUGUUGUUAUAAUAUCAUCAUUCAAGGGUUUCUCAAGCAUGAGGAUUUACCAAAAGCAUCAGAACUAAUCAACGAAAUGGUUGAUAAGGGGUUCUCUGCUGAUGAUGCUACCACAGAAUUGGUCGUACAUUUAUCACAGAAUAAUAAUCUCAUUCUGAGGCUUUUAAAGGUGCGCAAUGAGGGAUCAGCAAACUAAAGUUGUUAUAUCUUGACCAUUCAAGUGUAUCUUGGACCGCAACUUGGUAAUUACCUUUUUCAAAUAUAAUAGAUAUUUUAUUUAACUAACUUCUUCAAAUAUCAUUUUUAAUUUCAAUCAGCUGUGAUUCUCUUCCACAAAAUGAAAAUUUCUAACACCGCAAAUGACCUGUGGUGGAAACCGUGAUAUGUGUGUGCCUUUCGCUUAAAUUCAGAUAUAGACUUGAUCUCUUUGAUAUAAGAUUGUUGAAGAAUGGAGGUCUUGGAUUACAAUUUUAUUUUUGGUUGCUACUACAGCCUUAACUCCAGAGCUCAAUCCUAAAAUUAAGUUGAGAACUAAAACUAAUUGGUUUCAUACUACAAUGCUUAAGAAUCUUUAUCUAUUAUUAUUUUUGUGCUCAAUGACCUUUUAAAAUGCUAUCAUUUCUCUUGUAGGUACUUGCAAGGAUAUGAUUAGAACUUUACUUUUCUAACAAUAAAGGUAUAAGCAAUUCUUUUUGCUUAAUUAUUAUAUUUUUAAUAAUAAUGAAAAUAAUGAUUAUAAACCAGUGUGCUUUAAUUGAGAAUUGAUUUAACAAUUAGACUACCCUAUAAAUGCAGGGUGCAGGAUGUACAAUCCCAGAGUACAUGGUAAGAGAAUCACUAGACUUCUACGGCUGUUGGUUGGAUGAAAUGUCACUAAAAGUAUAGACAACAGAAAAUGUUAUGGGAAUUGAGGGAAAAGCAAAAGAAGACGAUGAAAAUCAGACGUAUGCAGCCACUGAAUGUGUUGAUGGACAAGCAACUGCAAUUGGUCCUACUAGCGAUUGGAAUGCUAGUUUAGCUUCAGCUAUUUAACAGGACUUUUUGUCCAAAUUUAUUUAUGAACAAGUUCAUAAAAGGCAGGAUAGCUCUAUAUAUAACACAGGUAUAAUCAAAGAAGGUGGCAGGAAAAAUGUCAAUACAAAGAAACUUCAUCUGAUUAAAUGGAAUACUCUUUUGUUGCCUAAAAAGAAUGGAGGCUUAGGCAUGAAAGAGAUCUCUCUUCAAAUUCAAGCUCUUUUGUUCAAAUGGCUUUGGAGAUUUGAAAAUCAUAGGGAUUCACUCUGAGUUCAACUUCUUCUAUCCAAAUAUUCUUUCAAUGUGGAGAAGGGUAUCUCUCUUGCUCCAGGAAAUUGCAUUUUUUCCCGUCAGAAAGACAUUCGAGGCUAUGCUACUUUCGAUGAACUCUUCCUUCUCUCCUUGAAUUAAUAUCAGAUUUGCUGUGGGGAAUGAGAUGACAAUGAAAUUUUGGAAUGAGAGACGAUCGGUUGGUAAUAUUGCUCUCAAAUUCUCCUUUAGCAGACUAUUAAAUUUAGCAGCUAACCUAGUUGUGUUGAUGUUAAACAUUAGCUGUUGGGUGAAGAACAAAUGGGAAUGGGAAAUAAUUGAAUUGUCUAAAAUAUACUUAAUCUUUUAUAUUAUUUCUAAUAAUAUAUUUUAUUAUUUAAAUAAUUUUUAUGAAUUUAAAAUUCUAAUUUCCAUAAAUAAAUGUGGUAAUAUUUAUGUGAGAUUGUAAAUUCAAUAUUUUUUAAAAAGGUAGUUUUAGAAAAAAUAAAAUCGAUUUUGUAAACAAAUUUUGAAAAAUGGAAAACCCAAUUACUUUAAAAAUAUCCAUUUCCAUAUAAAUUUAAUUAAAAAAUAAAUAUUUGCUUCUUUUUUUUUUUAACUUUCGUUCCCCAUUAUUAUUUAUAAAUACUAAUAGUUACAUUGGAAAAUUUAUAAUUUAUUUUUAUUAAUAUAAUUUAUUUAAUUAAUUUAUAAUAUAAUAUUUUAAUUUGCAUAUAAAUUCCACAUGUUCACUCCUAUUUUAAUGGAUUAAAAAAUUAUAUAAAUAUACAUUAUUUAAAAUAUUUUAAUUUGAUUUGUUCAAUUAAUUUACUAUUUUAAUUUAAUUUAUGUUCUAUUAACAAAUAUAAUAUUAAAAUUUUUCAUAGAUUGAGUAUUUUACAUAGAAUAAAAAUAUAAAAUUAUUUAGAAUUUUGUCAUAUCUUUCAAAUUAUAAAUCACUAAGUACAAUUUAUUAUUGAAAAUUAAUAAUUUUAAAUAAAAUAAAAAUAUAUUAUUAUUGUUAUUAAUUUUGAAAUUUAUAUUGUAUUAGGAUAAAGUUUUUUAGUUAUAAUUUAUAUAUAAUUUGACUAUAAUAAUUUUUUUAAAAAAAUGUAUAUUAACGGUAAUUUUAUUAAAUAACAGAUAUUAGCAAAUAAAAUUAAAAUUUGAAUAUUUCAAUUAUAGUAAAAAAAUCAACUAAAAUUAUUUAUUUUCUUAAUGUUAUUUUAUUUUAAUUCUUUUAGAUACUUUGAUUAAAUAUAUUCAUAUAAAAUGUGAUAUUAAGAUAAUAGGAGCCCAAAUUUAAUUGCCUAUUUGCAAUAAUAAUAAUAAUAAUAAUAAUAAUAAUAAUAAUAAUAAUAAUAAUAAUAAUAAUAAUAAUAAUAAUAUUUAAUAAUAAUAAUAAUAAUAAUAUUUAAUAAUAAUAAUAAUAAUAAUAUUAUCAUUAUUAUUAUUAUUAUUAUUAUUAUUAUUAUAUAAAAAAUUAGAUAAUUAAUAAAAAUUCCUCUUCACUAGGGUGAGCAGUAUUCAGUUCAAACCGAAAAAAUCGACCGAAUCGAAUUAAUUUGAAAAUUCAGUUCGGUUUUUUAUUUAUUUCGAUUCAGUUCGGUUUUAAAUUUCAGAAAUUUUGGUCAAAUCGAUUCGGUUCGAUUUUAAUCAGAAAAAAAUCGAAAAAACCGAACCGAACCGAUUAGUAAUAAUAAUAUAGUUUUUUAAUAAUAUAGAGAAAUUAAAUCAUAUUAAAAUUAAAAUAUUUUAAUUAAAUUUUAAAAUAUUAAAAAUAAAUUGUAAAAAAUAAAAAAAUUAUUAAAAAUUGAAACCGAUUAAACCGAAUCGAAUCGAACCGAAUCAGACCGGUUCGGUUCGAUUCGGUUUCUGACCAAAAUCGAUUCGGUUCGGUUUUCAUAAAUACUAAAAUUUCAAUUUUCGGUUUAUUCAGUUCGAUUCGGUUUUGAACAGAACCGACCGAAUGCUCACCCCUAUUCUUCACUGCUUUAAUUUGCAACUUUUUUAAAAUCAAUUAAUAAACUAAUCCAGCUAAAAUAUUUUAUUUAAUGCUAAAAUUCUAAAUUUUAUCUCACUUGUUAUCCAUAUAUAUAAAUUGAAUUUCAAUUACUCUUCUGAAUUUCCUUUCGAGUUUUUUCACUCUCAAAUCUUUUUUUAAUUUAGAAAAGUUUGAUCAAUAAUGUCAUUGUGGAGAGUUUUUAACAGGAAAAUGGAUUCUCUCCCUAGGAUUUUAGGUCAAUGAUAUGCAAUCAAGUCAUUUUUUUCUUAUAAAUUACUCUCCAGUUCAACUGAUCUGAAAACUAAAACACCGCAAAUUAAAAAGGGCUAUGCAACCAUAUACGUGGAUGACGAGGGCAAGAGAUAUCAAAUUCCAAUAGAGAAUCUAAAGUUUUCGACAUUAUAAGAACCGAUUAAACAGUUUCAUGAUAGUGAUCUCGACUCCAAGAUUGAUGGGCCAAUCGUGUUGCUUACACUACUGAUAAGUUUGAUAAACUGCUAAAACUUACAAGAGAUUGUCAUAUGAAACUUUAAAAAAAUUUGAAUAAUUCUUUUCUAUAUGAUUGAAUUACUAAUAAAUUUUUAUGUUUUAUUAAAAUUACAUAUUCGAUUUCUAUUUCGAAAUCACUCAAUUAAAAUAUUUUGAGUUUUAUAAAAUCAAAAACUUUAAUAUUCUUAUCGAAUAAAAUAUUAGUAAAUAUAACAAAUAAAAUUGAAAAUGCCAAAUAUAUGAAAUGAGUUUGAGCAUUUUAAAAUUUUAUUAUAUUGAAAUCAUUUUGUAUAUUAAUUUUUUAUUAUAUUAAUUAAAAUUGUAAUAUUAUUCAAAUAAAAAAUGCUUUAAAUAACUUUUGUAAAAGUAAAGCUUGGUAAAAAAAUUAAUUUAAAAUAAAAUAAUUAAUAAUAAAAAAUUAUAUAAAAUAAAAAUCAAUUAGAUUUUUCAUGAAAUUUUAUUCAAUAUUAAAAAUAAAAUUAACUAUUUAUAUAACCGCCUUUAAUUAGGUACCCAAUAUUGUAUAAAAAAAAUAAUAUAGAAGUAAUAUAUAUGUAUAAUUAACAUACACAAUGUCUACAAAUAGGCAAUAGCCAAUAGCACUUUAGCAAUGAUAAAUUAUUAUUAUAUAAAUUUAAUUUGUUAUUAAAUAAUAUUUUUAUAUGAAAAUUUAAUAAAAAAUUACAAAAUGUGGUGCAUAUAAACAACAGAGUAAUGCAUUUCCUUUACCAGCAGGCAGAGAGCCUUCCUUUUCCAAUUCUCUAUUUCCUUUCCUCAUUCCCAAUCUCCGAUCCAUCCCUAAAAACAACUGAAGAGAGAUAUGAUGAUGAAGAUGCCUUGGAGGAGGAAGAGCAGGAGCUUCCAUCUUCAGCUACAAGGGGCAAUUGGUACCAUUCAAUCUCCAUUCCUAUUCUUAUUUACCAAUUAUUGCCAUUCUUCUACUUCCACACUUGAAGAUGCACGCUUCUUCACAAAUAACUUCAAAUCUGCUUCUUUUACCCGCCUUCAUGAUGCCAUUGCUUCCUUUAAUCAUGUAAUUCAUAUGAAUCCUCUGCCUUCUAGGGUUCAUUUUAAUAGAUUCUUAUCUGCCCUUGUGAAAAUGAAACAAUAUCACACUGUCCUUUCCAUGUCCAAAACAAUUGAAUUUCUAGGAAUCUCACACGAUGUUUAUUCUCUUAGCAUCUUAAUUAAUUGCUUCUGCCACUUACACCUCGGGGAUUUUGGCUUCUCUGUUUUUGGUAAGAUGCUCAAAUUCGGAUUGGAGCCUACCACUGUGACAUUUACUACCUUAAUUAAUGGGCUUUGUAUGGAGAGUAAAAUCGACAAAGCAGUAGAAUUUUUCGAUGAUAUGGUUGCACGUGGUUAUCAACCUAAUGUUUAUACUUAUAAUGUGAUAGUAAAUGGAAUGUGUAA